rnacentral:misc_RNA from 1 species
UGACGAUUAAAUUUGAACUAUUAGUACCUGUGGAUAGAACUUUCGUUUUUCAUUUCUAUCUAUACCAGCUUCUGUCGAAUGUAUAUAAACGCAGCUUCGUAGAAUUCCACGUUGCUGCUUGUGACAUCCUUCUUACGCAAAACCUUGUGUGUGAGAUGGUUAAAGAGUCAUACUUACGUAUGCCUGAAGCGGAGCGUCCUAUGAAAAAAUUUGGUUGUCCAGUGCCACCUGGUAAUUAUACAUUAGCAGACUUGAAUUUGAACUUGUUUCAACUUCCGG